UCUGUAUAGGUAGAGCCAUUUCUCAUAAACGCGGCAAUCACCGGACACGUUGGAAGCAUAUGGGCUCAGAGCGAGACUUUCCCUCAGGAAAACUCAACCAAGUCUUGCUGAUUUUGUUAGAUUUGGUGUGGAAUUGCUCUAUUUUGAUUUGUGGAUUCGACGUGGUUUUUUAUCAUGUUGGAUGAUUUUUGGGAUUGGUUUGAGGGGGGAACAUUCAUACCUUUGAUUUAGGUUUGCCAUUUUAAUAUGGGUUUAAGAAGAUAUCGGAUGUGGGUUUUAUUUAUUUUCAGGAUCGGAUUUGAGGUUG